rnacentral:rRNA from 1 species
GAUGAACGCUGGCGGCGUGCCUAAUACAUGCCAGUCGAACGCUGAAGGAGGAGCUUGCUCUUCUGGAUGAGUUGCGAACGGGUGAGUAACGCGUAGGUAACCUGCCUGGUAGCGGGGGAUAACUAUUGGAAACGAUAGCUAAUACCGCAUAACAACAGUUAUUGCAUGAUAACGGUUGAAAAGGGGCAACUGCUCCACUACCAGAUGGACCUGCGUUGUAUUAGCUAGUUGGUGAGGUAACGGAUCACCAAGGCGACGAUACGUAGCCGACCGGCGAGGGGGGGCAGCCGCACUGGGACGGAGACCCGGCCCAGAGUCCUACGGGAGGGAGCAGGAGGGCAUCGUGGGGAAUCGGCGGAAGUCUGACCGAGCAAGGCCGAGUGAGUGAGGAAGGUUUUCGGGUCGGGAAGCUCUGUUGUCAGGGAAGAACGCGCGUGCGAGUGGAAAGUUCACACUGUGACGGUAACUUAUCAGAAAGGGACGGCUAACUACGUG